AAACCAAUCAUCUUAUGGAACCAUCGAUCAUAGUUGGGCAUUUCAUCACCAGAAGACGCUGGUAGUUCCAGUUUUUAAAAUCAUAAUGAACUGCGCAAGUUGCUAAGGUUAACCAAUGCGCAUGCGCGAACGGUAUCAGUGGUUCUCUGCGCCGGUGAUGUCGCGGUUACGCAGUCAUUCGUCGCGCGUCUUUCGAGCGCGUUUGUUCUGUGUUAAUGGUGUGUCGUGCUUUGAACGCGUAUUUGAGUCAUGCGAAACCACGUGGUUUCCGGUGCUUGCACGAAUACGAGUAUAAAAGUAUCCGAUUGAAACAGCUGGUUAUUUCUUCUAAAAAAUUCUUUCUAUGUGCGAUCGGAAUCGUUUUUUCGAUAGCUGUAUAAUACGGCUUCUCGGUACGCGAAGAUGUUAUUCGUCGUUACCAUAGUUACGAAGCGCGGGUAACGGAAGACAGUUUCGUUCAAAUUCGCGCGAAAUCGUCGAUCUUCGUCGUGACUACGUACUUCGUGAUCGCGUCCUGUCAACGGUGCGUUUUUCGAAACAAAUUGUCGUAGGAUUUUGUCAACGGUGCGUAUUUCGAAACAAAUCGUCGACGCGUUGUGAGGGUUUGGUGCGCUAUCGUAUCGUGUUCCGUGAAAAGUGCGAAAUGUGACUGAAUCGUCAUUGCUGAACCGUCAUUGCAACCUGGUCAGCGGUGUGACGCGGCACGCUGAUAUGUCCAGAAGGAAGCAGGCGAAACCUCGAUCUCUGAAACGAGACGAAGAGUGGGACGAGGGAAACGAGCAGAAUGUCCUGGAGGUAACCGAGCAUGAUAAUGAAACAACGGGAAUUAAACAGGACGAGGAGGAGGAGGAGGAAGAGGAGGAGCUGCAGAGAGCUUUCAGUCGUCAUUCCGAGGAGUAUCUCCCAGAGGGAAGACCGUCUUCGAUUCAAGGAGCAGACCUGGAGAAUCAGAACAGCCUCGACAGCGAAGUCUUGGGAACCGGAAGUUCGUCGUGGCAGAGCGAGGAUGGCGGGCCAAACUCGCGACGCGGAGGUGAGACCCCGUCGUCUUGCGCGACGCCGACGUCGGUCAGCUUUCCGUCGGAACCUGAAGUGGACGCCGACGUCGGUGUGAACCCAGAUGGGAAUAACGUAAACGCGCCUUAUCCUUGUCAAUUUUGCGAUCGCACCUUCCCACGGCUGAGCUACUUGAAGAAACACGAACAGAGUCACGGCGAUCAGAUGCCUUAUAGAUGCAGCUGGUGUGCCAGAUUGUUCAAGCAUAAACGCAGCAGAGAUAGACACGUGAAACUUCACACGGGAGACCGAAGAUAUCGAUGCACGCACUGCGAGGCUGCUUUCUCCAGGAGCGAUCAUCUGAAGAUCCACAUGAAAACCCACGACACCCAGAAGCCGUACCAAUGUACAGCCUGCUCGAGGGGAUACAACACGGCGGCCGCGUUAACGUCUCACAUGCAGUCGCACAAAAAGCAUCAUCAGUCUCAGGGAACGACGAAACUGCAGCAGGAGGUGGAUUACGGACGGAGGAGCGUCUCUUCUCACAGCACAUCGUCGCCUCCGGUUCCGAGUUCCCCGUCGCCCUCUUUAAAUCUCACCUUGAAUCCCAAGUCCGGAUUGAAGAGUUCGCAAGGCAGCUGUUCCACCACACCGAUCUUGACCUCCCCUCUGAAGCUCGCCUGCAUGUACUGCACCAGAGACUCGUUCAGCUGCAUGCAACAGCUUCAGAUGCACGUGCACACGAUGCACCAAGCGAUUUUGAGCGGAGAGAGCGUCGCUGUGUCGCCUUCGCCUAACAGAAGCAACGAGCAGAUCGCUUAUCAGCGUGACAAAACGUUGGACCGACCCGAAGGAUCCUCUAACGAUCACGAGAGGAAGUAUCAAGAGGAUUCACAGCGGAAGGAUCAUUACGAGAACGCGUUUACCUGCAAUCAGUGCACCAUGAAGUUCUCCACCUUGGGUUCUUUGAGGGAUCAUUUGGUUUCUAUACACAGGACCGACGGGUUCGGUUCUACUUUGAUGAUGUGUCCCUUGUGCGGCAUCCCUUGCACCUCUGCAGCAGCCUACGCGGAACACUACGUCCUCCAACACUGUGAAAAUCGACGGGUAGAUCCUUUGGAUGGUCGAGAGUACGUGGGUUUGAAAUUGAAUGGCACUUACGACUCGAAGAACAACAGAGGUCAGAAGUGUAGGGAGCAGACUCCGUCCGAGCCAGCUGAUCUGACUAAUAAACAUUCUACCGAGAGUAGUUACACCGCUGGAACUCUGUUCUGCGGUCAGUGUGGCGCCGCUCUGAAGGACUUUGAAUCGUUCAGGGAACACCUGGCCAGGCAUCUUCAAGCUGACCAUAGAAACGACGUCGUCAGACAUCCUUGUCCCAAGUGCGAGGCUACUUUCCAGGACAAGGAGGACAUGCUGGUACAUCUGACGAAGCACUACCUCGGUCAGGUCAGCAAGGAGUACGCGUGUGGAGCGUGCAAGAAGCUCUACCCUCAUCCUGAUCUUCUUCAGAGACAUCUGCUCGAUAGCCACGCGCAUCAUUUGUACAGGUGUGCCCUGUGCAGGGACACCUUCGACACCAGAGUAGCUAUACAAGUUCAUUUCGCUGUGAAACACAGCCAGGAGUGCAGGAUCUAUCGGUGCAACGCUUGUACCGUUUCUAACAACGAGAAUUCGCCCGGUAACGCUCCUGGAGAGGGGAAGAGCUUCUUCAGGAGCGAAUCUGAGAUGGCGAACCAUGUGAGGAACGUGCAUGCACCACCUACGAUAUCCAGCAAAAGUCCAGCAGCUACCAGUCCAGCUUCCACUCCUGGGAUCACUGCCUCCUCUGGACCCAGGUGCGUUUUCUGCGGAAUCUGUUGCGGCUCGGAACUGGAGCUGCAACUUCAUCUGGCAAGCCAUUCGGCUAGCCUGUACAGGUGUCCUGUAUGCAGGGAGGGAUUCGCUGUAGAAUUCUUGCUGGAUAGACACAUCGCUCAAGCUCAUCAUUCCACUGACCAUCAAGCCACUGUCAGAAGCAGUUCCAGAGAGAAUGGAAGGAUUGCUAGAACGUCGAGAUUGCAGGAAGAGUCAAAGUCCCAGAAAAGGGGUCGUUCGCCAGCGUCCAGCAACAACAACACCCUCAACCAACGUGACAACAACAAUAAACGUCCCAAGUACAUCGGCUCAGGUUCCCAACAGUGCGAUCUCUGCGAGAGAGGAGAGUUUGCCAACGAAGCAGAGCUUCAGGCGCACAAGAAGGUUGCUCACGCUCCAGCUAAGUUACAAAACAAAUCCUUGUCGAACCUCAGUAUGACCUGCGCCUAUUGCGGCGAGAUGUGCCGAUCACGGACCGAGCUUGAAUCUCACACCAGGAUCCAACAUGCUUCCAACGAGCCUGGAGGACGUCACAAGUGUAACAUCUGCGACGAGGUGUGCCCAUCGGGAGCCACCCUUGCGGAGCACAAACUACAGAAGCAUUGCAAAAUCCAGUUAAGCGACACCUGUAUCGUUUGUCGAGGAAGCUUGACCUCGGAGUCGCAGUUCCUCGAGCACGUUCAGAGACACAGCCUGGAGAACGUGGAUCCUCAGCAACGGCUCGACGGUUCGCUUCCACACUUACCAGCAGCUUGCGUCGUUUGCAGACAAACGUUGAUCAGCGACCUAGAGUGUCGUCUCCACGCCAGGCAUCAUCUCAGGGCUUCCACUGGCUCUCACAGUGUAGGAUCUAGUCCCAGUCCCAAUCAAAAGAGUCAGAAUCCAACUUGUUGCCUUUGCCUGAGGGAUUAUUCCGUAGACGACUUCGUCAGUCUGCCUCCAAGUCACAUCAGCGGUGGAGGACAGUCUCUGAGGGUCUGCAAAUCGUGUUACAUUCGUCGCUCGCAAGGUCUACCGAUCUUGAACUCGCCUUACGAAUCUGCUAGACCAAAGUGUGACAGAACUUGGACAUCGAGCAAGGAGCCUCCCAUGGAAGGCUCCAGGGACAGGUGGGAGGCUGAGCGUUGCUUCAAGACUGAGGACAGGGUGAACGAGACGAAUGACAGUAUCAGGUGCCAGAAUUGCGGGGUGAAAUUUGAAGACCCUGAAGAAGUAGAGAAGCAUAGGAUGGUGGAGCAUGAGAAAAAUGGGCCUGGAUCGAACACGUACACCUGUAUACAAUGUCAGAUGUCAUUUCCAACAGAAGCCAAGAUACAGCAACACGUGAGAAAGGAACACCUGGAGGCGUCAGGGAAAGCUUCUGUCGAUGCACUGAGGUGCCAUUUAUGCCUCUUCGAAGCUAGCAGUCCCUUACAACUGCAGAGUCAUUUGAUAGAACACACUUUCGCUGGAUGUGCUGCUCUUAGCUGUUAUAUUUGCCAGUCUCUGUUCACUGCUCCCAUUGGGCUUCAGAAUCACAUGUUACAAGAACAUGGUUUGGGUGCUCGCCCCUACGACUGCUCCAAGUGCACUCUCAAAUUCUUCUUCAGGGCUGAGUUGGACCAUCAUGUGCUGACGUUUCAUCGACCUGGAGACGCGUCUUCGCCUACUGAAAACGUGCAGAAUGUAAACGAAACAAAAACAAGGGACACUGAAGAACGAAUAUGCGAUGAGGAGGUCACAGUGAAGGAAGAACUGCUUCCAGACGCUGCAGAGGAAGACGAAGAAAUUAACGUCGAUGAACAAGUGGAACAAGAUGAUCCAGAAACAGAUAAACAAUCAGACGUGGAUAAGAAAUUAAAGACAGAAAUAGAGGGUGAUUCUAUUACUGAGAAAAUGGAUUCGUGAUCCUUCUUUGUUUAUUGAAAAACAAAUUUUAUAUAAACCUGAACAGUUAACGAGGAUGAGUGCAACGUAUAGAAAUUAACUUUUUAAAGAAGGAUUACGCUCAUUUUCAAAAACUAAAUUGAAAUUGAUAAGAUAAAAGAGAUGUCUCAGGAUUUUAUUAAUAGAUUGUGCUAAAUAUAAAAUUUUCUUUUGAUAAAAUAUAUAUAUUAGCACAGCUUUGAUAAAAAUAAAUCCUGAGUUAGACAGAAUAUUGAUAGACUGUAAAUAUAUAAGAUUCUGUGUCACAGAAUACUUUGUUCAGCUUUUAAUUAACAUUCUCUAAAGAGAAAAGGGUCAAAGUUUGAUACCAAGUUACUGGUUUCACAGUAAUAUUAAGUUUUUGUUAAAUAUUGUUUAUUUAAAUACGGAGAUCUAUCCAAUAGAAUUUAUGUGUAAACUAUUUUAUACGUAUAUAAAAGCGCGUGAAGUGUUUCUGUUAAAAGACUACAGCGUUUGUUUAGUUUCAUUAUCUUUAAUGUUUCUAUAUAAAUAUCUUACAUUCUUUUAUGUAGUUGAUUAGAAUAUCAGGCGUUGACAUAAAACUUUUGUUAAAAAGUAUCAGCUUCACUAGAUUAUGCAAAUUCUAGUUAUUAUUCCAAGAUGUAUCUUUCUUUUCUUUUUCUUUUUUAUUAAGAAGAUCACAAUGUUCAUGAUCAUAAAAUAUUUUGUAAUGUUGAAGCUGAAUAACUUGAUGUUUGUUGUGUGAACGAUUUCUUUAUUUUGUUAAUAUGCAAAUUUAAACUGUAAAAUUCUGACAGUAAAUUACAGUGUUAAAUUUUCAUAUGAAUGCAGUUGUAAAAUGAGAAACUUGUUGUUUCUUACUGCAAAAAGGAAAAAGGAGGGAGAAAGAUAAUAAGAUCAAAGCACUCGGCGCGGGAAACAAAAAGGGAUUUAAAUAUCAAUUAAUUGUUAAAUUUUAUGAAUCGGUACUGCGAUUUUUAAAUAGAACAAGUCAAUGACAAUAGAGGCUUCAAUAACAUGUUUGCAAAUUGAAAUUGUAAAAUAUUUAUGUAUAUUGCAAGAAGAUUAGAAUAUACCAUAUUGUUAUAUUA